CUUGAAAAAUAAAACCAAGAAAUAAAUUAAUUUAAUAUUGUGAUGAAUUUGAAUAUCGUCAUUUGUCGCAAAACUAGGCCUAUAGUUACUUAUAUAUCCUAUAAGUAAGAACAGAUGUGUAACUUCAGUAAAAAAGUUGUCCCAUGGUCGCCAUCUUCCUAGCAAGUGUCGCUUGCGUGAUUAUUCGUCAUUUGGUAGUACGUCAUUGCUUUCAAAAAUGUUUUCAACACCUUUUCUAGAACUUUAAU